rnacentral:rRNA from 1 species
CCUACGGGAGGCAGCAGUGAGGAAUAUUGGUCAAUGGACGAGAGUCUGAACCAGCCAAGUAGCGUGAAGGCUGACUGCCCUAUGGGUUGUAAACUUCUUUUAUAUGGGAAUAAAAUGUUCCACGUGUGGGAUUUUGUAUGUACCAUAUGAAUAAGGAUCGGCUAACUCCGUGCCAGCAGCCGCGGUAAUACGGAGGAUCCGAGCGUUAUACGGAUUUAGUGGGUUUAAAGGGAGCGUAGGUGGAUUGUUAAGUCAGUUGUGAAAGUUUGCGGCUCAACCGUAAAAUUGCAGUUGAAACUGGCAGUCUUGAGGACAGUAGAGGUGGGCGGAAUGCGGGGUGUAGCGGUGAAAUGCUGAGAUAUCACGAAGAACUCCGAUUGCGAAGGCAGCUCACUGGACUGCAACUGACACUGAGGCUCGAAAGUGUGGGUAUCAAACAGGAUUAGAUACCCCUGUAGUC